rnacentral:lncRNA from 1 species
GGGUAAUGAUGAUGAUGUCUUGUCCUUGACCUUCUUAGUGAAAAUCAAGCUGCUGUUUUCCAUUCAAUGAAACCUGCCUUUUCUGGUUUUGCCAGAAUGAAAGCUGUGAGCUGUGAUGCAUUACUAAAACGGCUGGGACGCUAACCAAGCAGGUGAACUGAAAAGCACAGGCAGAGGAACAGGUGAGCUCUCUUGCCAGCCAUCUGGUGCAUCUGUGAUCUCCAAAAGAGCCGUGCAACAAGUGUCUGAGCUCGCUGUAUGUGACCUGGUACGGCUGCACAGCCAGGAGAAACAAGUAUCCGGCCAUCAGGUGUGAUAGCACGACCUACCCUGUGUGCUCCCCGACUUCUGCUGCUCCGUGUGCCUUCCAGGCCUGGUUCUAAUUAUCUGGAUUAUCCCACCUACUGUCUGGGAGCUCAAGCAUGGCUCGUCUGAAGAAAACCUCAGAGAACAACAACAGUCAAACCUUUGUGCUUAUGAACCAAGCCUUCAGACUUCAAAUGAGGCUUAGGCCCAUCCUGCCUUCGGAGACAGCUGGGAGCUCUUACAAAUAUAUGGAAGCACGGGGACAGCGCUGGCUGAAGGCGUUGUCUGGUGAACUCAUACAGAGCCUGCCCACUGUGGAUCAACAGAGGAAAACAUUCAAAAUCACUACAUAAAAAUCUACCUUCCAAACUCCUCUUGUGCAACUGGCCAAGUGUGGUCUUAGUGCUGCUUUGUGGUUUCAGCUGCAGCCCCCCCGUGCUCUGUAGCAGUCCAGGAACGUGCGUUGGCUGCAGGCCCCAGCACUUCUGUGUAAUGGGGUGACAAGGAUGUGCCCUCGGUGAGCAGCCCCAAGUGGGACAGGGUUGUGUUUCAUGUCCAGUGAUGUGCCACGUCCCCGUGUCCCCCACUUCUGCCAGAGGUGGGGACUCUCCCUGUCACGAGCGAUGUGGUGGCACAAGGUUUGAUGCACUCGUUCCCUUUCUUGAUGAUUCAUUUUGAAGCUGGCCUGACUUUUACCUUCAAGCCCAGGGAAAAGCCAUUACGUGCUUUCUGGUCUUCAGCUUGUGGAUGGAUUCGUGCAUGGUGAGAUUCCAAAGACUUCGCAAUUGAAGUUCAAAUUAAGGAAUAUGUGGUGCUUGGCACGGGUACAUACGGCUGGAAAGAUAAAUUCAAUUGUGUUUAACUGCUAGACAAAUUUUCACAGCCUUUGAUUUAAUCACCGGAGCAUUAACAAGAAGGUUUGGCCCAGUGCUUCCCUAUUUAGCUGUGCUAUUUGGUUACUAGACUGGAACAGAAAACAGCAGGUAUUGUCAUGUUAGGGAGAGGCAUCCCACAGCACGUUCUGCCCUAGAACGAAGCCCGAGCAAUGAAGAAAUAGCAAUUUCUUGCCUGAUCAAAGACUGCUUAUAAAAUCGGGCCUGCUGGGAUGCAAAAAAGCUCAGUAUUCAUCUCUUAGGAGUAGAUAAUAAACUGCUCUUCUGACGGCGAGAGUCCCCGCGC